GAGAACCAAACAAAGAUAGCAAUCAAGCAGAAGAUGGCAUUGCAGAUAUCUUUAGUAUAAAAGGAAGAACUAGGAGUGGUGGUACCGUCAUAGGGUGUCAGAUGUCACAUCUUUUUACAUAUAUUUGUAUGUAUAUGUAUACUGACUACUGAGCUGCUGCUACUAGCUGAAGAAUAGAUUAGAAGCAGAAAGCAGUGUUGGAAGAAAAACAAAAGGGAGAUACUAUUGAGAAGCUUUGAUGAUAUGUUUUAAAGAAACGGACAGAAACAUCAGUGGAGUGCUUAUGCCCACAUAGGACAUACUUUUUCCUGUGACAAUGUUCAGAAAAUGAAGACAGAGUGCCCAGGAUCUUACCUACAAGUGUUAUCUAAAAUUAAGACAUUUUCCUGUUUUCAAAAAUAAAUGCAUCUACAAAUGAAGCAUGUAUUAAAAGUGAAAAAAUAAAAACAUAUUUGAACGAAGGAUUUACUUAAAAAAAAAAAAAAAAAAAACAUGAGUAACGGGGGAAAAAACAUUUAUGAGUAAAGGAUGAAUUAAAAGUGAAAAAAACGAAACAAAAAAAACAUAAGUCAAGGAUUUAUUAAAAAGUGAAAAAAGGAGAGAAAAAUCAAAUAAAAAAUGUGCAUUAAAAGUGAAAAAAUAUACGUACAGGUUGUGUUUAAAGACAUAUUUGAAAGUUUAGUGAUAUAAUGCAUAUCUUACAUUCUAGUCUAACAUUUCUCUGCUCUGUAAAUGAAACAACAUUGAAACAUAAAAAAGAAAUAUGCUUUGGAGAUUUUGAUGAAAAUAAUGUGAGACUUCUUUGUUAAAUUAACAGGUAGAUUAAAAAAAGGAUUAUUUUGAAAUUUCAUAUUAUUGUUACAAGUUAUAUGUCUUAAUAUGUACAUAAAAAGUAGCAAAAACGUACAGUUCUUAAUUGUUAGAAAAUUAUUGAAAUUCUAGAGUGUUUGGCAAGACAUUUAAUGAAAUUGUAUGAUACAUGUAUAUUUUAUUAUAAAGAUUAAUAAACAUAACUUUUUAAUUUGUAUACUUUUUACAAUAAAACAUACUGACAACCAAGA